rnacentral:rRNA from 1 species
GAACGUAGCGAAAUGCGAUACUUGGUGUGAAUUGCAGAAUCCCGUGAACCAUCGAGUCUUUGAACGCAAGUUGCGCCCGAUGCCUUCAGGCUGAGGGCACGUCUGCUUGGGCGUCACGCAUCUCGUCAACGCCUCCCACGUCGAUUUUUCCCCACUCAAAUG